rnacentral:rRNA from 1 species
AGAACGAACGCUGGCGGCAGGCUUAACACAUGCAAGUCGAACGGUUGUAGCAAUACAGCAGUGGCAGACGGGUGAGUAACACGUGGGAACCUUCCUAGGGGUACGGAACAACUCAGGGAAACUUGAGCUAAUACCGUAUACGUCCGUGAGGAGAAAGAUUUAUCGCCCCUAGACGGGCCCGCGUAGGAUUAGGUAGUUGGUGAGGUAACGGCUCACCAAGCCUACGAUCCUUAGCUGAUCUGAGAGGAUGAUCAGCCACACUGGGACUGAGACACGGCCCAGACUCCUACGGGAGGCAGCAGUGGGGAAUCUUGGACAAUGGGCGCAAGCCUGAUCCAGCCAUGCCGCGUGAGUGAAGAAGGCCUUCGGGUUGUAAAGCUCUUUUACCAGGGACGAUAAUGACGGUACCUGGAGAAUAAGCCCCGGACAAACUUCGUGCCAGCAGCCGC